rnacentral:rRNA from 1 species
GACGAACGCUGGCGGCGUGCUUAACACAUGCCAGUCGAACGAAGAGCGACGGAAGCUUGCUUCUAUCAAUCUUAGUGGCGAACGGGUGAGUAACGCGUAAUCAACCUGCCCUUCAGAGGGGGACAACAGUUGGAAACGACUGCUAAUACCGCAUACGAUCUAACCUCGGCAUCGAGGAUAGAUGAAAGGUGGCCUCUACAUGUAAGCUAUCACUGAAGGAGGGGAUUGCGUCUGAUUAGCUAGUUGGAGGGGUAACGGCCCACCAAGGCGAUGAUCAGUAGCCGGUCUGAGAGGAUGAACGGCCACAUUGGGACUGAGACACGGCCCAGACUCCUACGGGAGGCAGCAGUGGGGAAUCUUCCGCAAUGGACGAAAGUCUGACGGAGCAACGCCGCGUGAGUGAUGACGGCCUUCGGGUUGUAAAGCUCUGUUAAUCGGGACGAAAGGCCUUCUUGCGAAUAGUGAGAAGGAUUGACGGUACCGGAAUGGAAAGCCACGGCUAACUACGUG